GAACACCAACAACACACCCAAUGUUUCAACCAAAUCCACAACACACGGCCACUUUCAAGUUCACAACAACAAUGUCAAUGUUUUAAGCUCAAACUUUAGAUCUAGACACUUGUAGUGUUGGUGAGAAAGAAACCAACACUAGAAACAUUCUAAAUAAGAAAAAUAUUAAUAGAUCUAGACAAUACAAUUUGGCCAAGACUACAACAACAAGAACAAUAAUUUCUCGGCCAAGAACUUAAAUGGACAGAUUGCACCUUUUUCUAAAAAUUUUAGUUUUUCAAUAUUUUUUUUAAUUUUCAAGUUUACGAGCCCAAGAUUGAUCCUGUGUAAACAAUAUCAAUCCAUUCUAUGAUACCAGAUGAUACAAGAACAACCAAGGAAGACACAAAAACCACACACCAAAAACAUUCCACUAGUCAAAAACCUGUGAACCUCUGUGAUGACCACACUCGAAUUCAAGAACAACAACAAGACUACAAGAGAAUAGAGUGUUUAACACCUAUUGGCAUCCAACAAUCCCAAACUAUAUUAACAACAAUAGGAUGAAGAACAACAAAAUUAUAACAACAAGAACAAUACAGGUUACAAUAGAAGACACUAUCAAUGGUUACAACAAAAUAAAGAUAGAAAGGUAGACAAAUGGAUGGUAUAAUCUUAAGAACCCAAGAGCUUAUUCCACUCUUGGAUCCUUAACACUACACACAACUAUCACCUAUAUCUUGCAAUUGACAUAAGAGAGGCUUCCACCACCCAAGCACCAACGUAUCAAGAAAAAUACAACACACAAAUGAUUCCUCACUUGUGCAAUGCCCUAGUUUUGGUUGGACUCUCUCUCACUCUAAGAGAAGUAUUAUUUCAAUAAUAAUAAUUUAAAAAAGAACUAAAAAUUCUAUAAUGUUAUAUUUAUAUUACAUUACAAAAUAAGAGAUAAAAUACUAAAGGGCCCUUUCAUUAAUGGGCUCAUUGAGUGCACUUUAGGGGAGGGUUUGGGCCUUCUUCACACUUGGGCUUGUGCACCUUUUUAGGUGAUCUUCAAAAUACUCAAAAAUUGUCCAAGGUCAUGAUCGUACUUAUAUUAGUUUGUGACAGCGACAGUCCAAAUAGAGAUAUCACAAAGAAUGAGAAAAAUAGUGAUGAAAUUAGUAGUUCGAAAGAACAACCAAAUGAUAUACCUGUAAAGAAUGAUGAUGGAAAUGUUGGCUCUAGUGGAGAUCGAAUGAUGGAUAAAAAAACAAAUGUCGAGAAUUAUCAGAAAUUUAUUUUUUACGAUUCAACUAUAUCGAUAGACAAAGUUGAAGUUCAAAAUGAACAAAAGAAUGAUGCUGAAAAUACUGAAUUGGUUAGAGAUCGACUGCUGGACAAAAAAACAAACAUUGAGCAUUUGCAGACGGAGAACAUUGAAGUUUAAAAUGAACCGCAGGGGUCUCACAUUGAGAUUUUAACAGCUGCAUUUUAAGAAUCUACAGAUAACAUCAUAGCUGACAUUUUCACACCAGUCAUUGAAAUGCCACUUAAGUCUGUUAGUCCUAAAAACUCCAUUGACAGUGAAUGAUACAUCCUUAAUAGUCAAUUUUCAUCAAAUUUUUCAGAGGCCCACUUGGGUAACAGGAUGCAAAAAACACUUGCACCAAGAAUCAGGAAGCGAACUAAGAUAUUCAUGUCACCACAUUUGACUGAAUUUGACUCUAGUUGCAAAGGCAAGAAGAUUGUCACAAAUUAUUUUCCUCAAAAGAAUUUGUUUGAUGAUUUUCUUAUAUCUGAAGAUGGCCUAACCAAAUUAAUUGAGCAUUACUCUGAAUGGAUUGUCGAAGAAUUAUUAAAGUUUCAUGAAAAAAAGUAAGAUAUGUUACUUUUUUUAUUAUCUUCUAAUAUUAAAUUUCUGAUGUAUUGAAACUUAUCAUAACUACUCUUAUAGGAAAAUGAAGGACAAUCA